AUCUGCCAUGUUGAAUGAGGUAAA
rnacentral:siRNA from 1 species